GACGAACGCUGGCGGCGUGCCUAAGACAUGCAAGUCGAACGGUCCGAGCAAUCGGACAGUGGCGAACGGCGGAGUAAUACAUGAGCAACGUGCCCCAAAGUCCGGGAUAGUCGCUGGAAACGGCGGGUAAUACCGGAUGUGGCGAACUGAUGGCAUCAUCGGUUCAUUAAACGGUUUUUCGCUUUGGGAGCGGCUCAUGGCCUAUCAGGUAGUUGGUGAGGUAACGGCUCACCAAGCCGACGACGGGUAGCGGGUUUGAGAGGAUGAUCCGCUCGAGUGGGACUGAGACACGGCCCACACACCUACGGGUGGCAGCAGUUGGGAAUCUUGCACAAUGGGGGAAACCCUGAUGCAGCGACGCCGCGUGGAGGAUGAAUGGUCUAGGCCUGUAAACUCCUUUUAUCGGGAAAGACUUAGGACGGUACCCGAUGAAUAAGCACCGGCUAACUACGUGCCAGCAGCCGCGGUAAGACGUAGGGUGCAAGCGUUGUCCGGAUUUACUGGGCGUAAAGAGCGCGUAGGCGGUCUGUUAAGUGUAGAGUGAAAUCUCCAGGGCUCAACCCGGAAACUGCUCUGCAUACUGGCA
rnacentral:rRNA from 1 species